AUUGAACGCUGGCGGCAUGCCUAACACAUGCAAGUCGAGCGAGCGGCGGACGGGUGAGUAAUGUAUGUGGAUCUGCCUGAUGGCGGGGGAUAACUACUGGAAACGGUAGCUAAUACCGCAUACCAUCAGAUGAACCCAUAUUGGAUUAGCUUGUAGGUGAGGUAACGGCUCACCUAGGCCACGAUCCCUAGCUGGUCUGCGAGGAUGAUCGGCCACACUGGGACUGAGACACGGCCCAGACUCCUACGGGAGGCAGCAGUAGGGAAUAUUGCGCAAUGGGCGCAAGCCUGAUGCAGCCAUGCCGCGUGUAUGAAGAAGGCCUUCGGGUUGUAAAGUACUGUCAUUCGGGAGGCGUUACCGAAAGAAGAAGCAACGGCUAACUCCGUGCCAGCAGCCGCGGUAAUUC
rnacentral:rRNA from 1 species